CGAGACUGAUUGACAGAGAAGUGCGUCCCUUUUUAAUGGGCUUUCCGGGACCCAUUUAACUUUUGGAUAAGGGUAUCGCCCACAUCACCCCGUUAGCAAACAAUAGAGGACCUGGCCGGCAGAGCUGAGUGUAAACGGUAUACCAGCUGCAGGCGAGGAAAACCCCAAACCAGUUGGCCAGCGAGCCCGUCAGCCAGUCGCCCGGCCAGUCUGCCCUGCAGAGGGCCCUGCCAAUCAUCAUCUGGUUCUUCUCAUGCUGUUUUGAACAAGUCUUUCCAUUGCACAAGUGCCAUGAUAUACCUCCUGGGGUUGGACCAAUACAGUUCGUUUUCACAGAAAUAUGCCAUGCUGAUACUAAGCAUUCAUAAAGAAAACAGGGAUGUAAAGAUUCCCAUAGUUUAAGAAACUUGUUGACUGUACUGAAGAACACAAAGCAUUCCAUGUUUAUCAAGAUGAAAUGGUUAAAAAGGCCUGUUUAUGUUUUUUUAAUUUUAUUUCCGGGUUGUACCAAACUGAGUUCAGUCAGGACAACUUUAUCAAAUACUUUAUGGCUUGCAGUAGUUAUAUUUGGCGGUGUGGCUCUGUUCUGGGACCCCCUGCCUCUCCUGCGUGCCUUCACAGAGAGCCAUGAGGCGGGGAGAGCAGCUCCCUGCCCUUCCACAUGCCUACAUGGAAGGCCAUACUGUAGUGCUUGGAGGGAAAUCAGCUGAGCUGUCAGCUGAUGAGGCUUCACUUGACAUGGGUUGCUAUCAACUGAUGCGCUUGGAUUGUGGGCUGGGCUUGACUUUGUUGCCUUCUCGAAACUAAUGCUAUGCUUGAUUUGUGCACAAUUUGGAAACAUAACCAACACGCGUCAUUGAACAGACUCUUAUACUCUUAAUAAAUACAAAUGAUCA